rnacentral:rRNA from 1 species
AUUGAACGCUGGCGGCAGGCCUAACACAUGCAAGUCGAACGAGUGGCGGACGGGUGAGUAAUGUCUGGGAAACUGCCUGAUGGAGGGGGAUAACUACUGGAAACGGUAGCUAAUACCGCAUACCAUCGGAUGUGCCCAGAUGGGAUUAGCUAGUAGGUGAGGUAAUGGCUCACCUAGGCGACGAUCCCUAGCUGGUCUGAGAGGAUGAUCAGACAACAUGGUACUGAGACACGGCCCAGACUGCUACGGGAGGCAGCAGUGGGGAAUAUUGAACAAUGGGCGCAAGCCUGAUGCAGCCAUGCCGCGUGUAUGAAGAAGGCACUAGGGUUGUAAAGUACUUUCAGUCGGGAGGCGUUACCGACAGAAGAAGCACCGGCUAACUCCGUGCCAGCAGCCGCGGUAAUAC